rnacentral:rRNA from 1 species
UACGUAGGGACCAAGCGUUGUCCGGAAUCAUUGGGCGUAAAGCGCGCGUAGGUGGCCAUUUAAGUCCGCUGUGAAAGUCGGGGGCUCAACCCUCGAAUGCCGGUGGAUACUGUCGGGCUAGAGUGCGGAAGAGGCGAGUGGAAUUCCUGGUGUAGCGGUGAAAUGCGCAGAUAUCAGGAGGAACACCGGUGGCGAAGGCGGGUCUCUGGGCCGAUACUGACGCUGAGGAGCGAAAGCGUGGGGAGCAAACAGG